ensembl:miRNA
UGGUUAGCUGGAGCUAAGCAAUUAGUAGUGAUUAAGAAGAGACCAGCAGGCUGGAGUGAUGGCUCACCUGUUAAAGGCUAGGCUCACAACCAAAACUGUA